rnacentral:rRNA from 2 species
AAAAGUACUUUGAAAAGAGAGUGCAAGAGAACGUGAAACCGGUGUAAUGGAAGCGAAUGGAGCCGACGUAUCUAGUGCGUAUUCAGCUUUUCGUUCGGUCGAUUGAGAGCAGUGUAUUUCCGCAAGGUGUGCCUGUUUUUAUUGUCGGCUGUUCGGUUGGUGCAUUUGCGUACGGAGUGCGCCGGGUUGUGUGGUGUCGUCGUGCGAAGCUCGUUUAGAGGACCCGGACUUCGGUUUGGGAACCCUGGGCGGGUGGAGUUCGGUUGGUGCUGCGCAGCUUUGUGGAGACGUGGGUUUUUCGCGUGCCGCGGUGUCGAUUGGUCAGGUUUGGUUGGUUACACAUGUGUGCCGGCCUUCUCGGGCUAGUCGGUGUUGUGGUGUGCUCUGCGUUCUUCCCGGUGUAUAGUCGGUGACCCAUUCGACCCGUCUUGAAACACGGACCAAGGAGUUUAUGGUAUGCGCAAGUCAUUGGGUUUUGAAGCCUAAAGGCGUAAUGAAAGUGAGACAUUACUUGUCUGAACGUGACUGGGUGCGGCAUUCGUGCGGCCCAAGCAACGUUGCCCCGUUUCGAGGACUUGUCCUGAUGCGGAGGUUGAGCGUAUGCUAUGAGACCCGAAAGAUGGUGAACUAUGCCUGAACAGGACGAAGCCAGAGGAAACUCUGGUGGAAGUCCGAAGCGGUUCUGACGUGCAAAUCGAUCGUCUGAUUUUGGUAUAGGGGCGCAAGACUAAUCGAACCAUCUGGUAGCUGGUUUCCUCCGAAGUUUCCCUCAGGAUAGCUGGUGCACAUUGAACAGAUAUACUCGGUAAAGCGAACGAUUAGAGUUCUUGGGAUGUAUUAUUCUCAGACUAUUCUCAAACUCUAAAUGGUUAUGAUGUUGGUGUUGCUUAAUUGAACACUGACUUUGAUUGUUGUGCUCCAAGUGGGCCAUUUUUGGUAAGCAGAACUGGCGAUGUGGGAUGAACCAAACGCGGAGUUACGGUGCCUAACUAUUCGCUCAUGAGACCCCAUGAAAGGUGUUGGUUGAUAUAGACAGCAGGACGGUGGCCAUGGAAGUCGGAAUCCGCUAAGGAGUGUGUAACAACUCACCUGCCGAAUCAACUAGCCCUGAAAAUGGAUGGCGCUCGAGCGAAUGACCUAUACUCUGCCGUCGUUGAGACCCGAGCAAUCUCUCGACGAGUAGGAGGUACGUCGUAAUGGCGUUGAAGUUGUUGGGCGUGAGCCCGAAUGGAGCCGUUAUGAGU